AAAUUGCUUCAUGAUCUUAAGGAAGAGGGAACCUUGCUUCAUGAUCUUACAGCUUGUAGAGUUUGCAGAGCUUUUGACAUUGAAAUCAGUGAGGAUAAUACAAACAAAAGGACUCCUGGAUACCAUUGCUGAACUCAGGCACAAGGCAUCUCCAUGUAAGGUUCUUGCUUGCUGCUUCAUUCAGACCAUUUUAGUGUCAAGUCGAGAGGGUCAUCAUGUUUGGUCACGGUAGUGAGCUCUUACAUCUUGUUGCUCGUUUCAAUUCAUCUGUGAAAAGCAAGCCGUAUGGCUCUAGCUUUCUUGUUGUUCGAUGCAUCCUUGUGUAAGUUGAUGCACCAAUUUGAUGAUCGACAAAUAUUGUAAUACAAGCCUGAUUGUUUACUCUGAGUAAUUAAGCAUUGUUGUUAAUUGUA